rnacentral:lncRNA from 1 species
UGUAAAGCGGUUGGUAGGUUAGUAUAAACAAAAGAAGCAAUAAUGUAUCAGAUGAAUCCAUGUUUGCAAAAUAGGACUUCAUCCACAAGUCAAAUGACCAAGCUAUUUGAAAUAAGGACAACCUAUCCAUGCUUCAAAGUACCAUGGAUGAACUCAUGGUCAUCCAAUGGUAGGUUUGAAGUAUGGAAGGUUUUAACCAACCCUAAUCCAAACAUAUCAUGAUUUAAGUGGUUUUCAUUAGUCCUUAACUUUAAAACCUAAAAAGCCCAUAAAAAAUAAACCCAAUGGAAAAAAAACAAAUUACCAUUAAAUUCUAGAGACAAAAAUAAGGGGGAUUGAUGUUCCAACACAUUUUCAAAAUAAUAAAAUUAAGAGGGUUAAAAAAAAUAAAAUCAAAUUGAUAAUAAAAUGAAAAUAUUAAAUAAUAUGAAAUAAGUA